rnacentral:rRNA from 1 species
AUGUUCACUUUGUCCGCAAUACUAUUAGAGGACCGUGAAAAUUUAUUUCAUGAUUUUUGGUCUCCGUUUAGUAUUUCUUUUGUUUGUUUUUCUGCAACCUAUUGUCCUUUUAUUAUCAAACCUUUGGGAGUUACUUCUAUGUUAUGCUCAAGAUUGCUAUGUUAUGCUCGUAGACGUGGAUUGGGUGAGUGUAUCCAUGAAAGAUGUGAGAAUUGUUAA